GACAGAGGUGCCGAGCGUUAGGCGGAAUCACUGGGCUUAAAGCGUGUGUAGGCGGAUCGUUAAGUGCCUUGUGAAAUCCCACGGCUCAACCGUGGAACUGCUUGGCAUACUGGCGAUCUUGAGCCACUUAGGGGCUACCGGAACAAAUGGUGGAGCGGUGAAAUGCGUAGAUAUCAAGUGGAACACCAGUGGCGAAGGCGAGUCCCUGGACAACUCCUGACACUGAGGCACGAAAGCUAGGGGAGCAAACAGG
rnacentral:rRNA from 1 species